AAUUGUGGCCAUACCGGCUUAUCAAGGCCUGAUCUUGUCAAAUCUCAGAAGCUAAGUAAGGCCGGGUCUGGUUAGUACUUGGAUGGGAGACAGCUGGGAAUACCAGAUGCCAUAGUGG
rnacentral:rRNA from 1 species